rnacentral:tRNA from 20 species
CGGGGCGUAGCGCAGUCUGGUAGCGCAUCUGCUUUGGGAGCAGAGGGUCGGGGGUUCGAAUCCCUCCGCCCCGACCA